GACCUGGUAGCUCAGUUGGAUAGAGCAUCAGCAUUAAUAGCGGAAGGCCUCUGGUUCGAUUCCAGACCGGGUCA